rnacentral:rRNA from 1 species
AACGAACGCUGGCGGCAUGCCUAACACAUGCAAGUCGAACGAGACCUCCGGGUCUAGUGGCGCACGGGUGCGUAACGCGUGGGAACCUGCCCUUAGGUUCGGAAUAACUCCCCGAAAGGGGUGCUAAUACCGGAUAAUGUCUUCGGACCAAAGAUUUAUCGCCCUUGGAUGGGCCCGCGUUGGAUUAGCUAGUUGGUAGGGUAAAAGCCUACCAAGGCGACGAUCCAUAGCUGGUCUGAGAGGAUGAUCAGCCACACUGGGACUGAGACACAGCCCAGACUCCUACGGGAGGCAGCAGUGGGGAAUAUUGGACAAUGGGCGAAAGCCUGAUCCAGCAAUGCCGCGUGAGUGAUGAAGGCCUUAGGGUUGUAAAGCUCUUUUACCCGGGAUGAUAAUGACGGUACCGGGAGAAUAAGCUCCGGCUAACUCCGUG